rnacentral:rRNA from 1 species
UGUAACAAGGUCUCCGUUGGUGAACCAGCGGAGGGAUCAUU